UUCUAUUGGGACAACAAAUUGGGACAGCUACACUGUGGCCAACAUUGAAAAUUACAAUAGCAGCUUUCACUGUGAUCAUUAUGUUCCACAUCCUCUAUCAACUCUUUGUGAACAUCGCAGCUGCAUUUCAGACAACUGUUUACUGGGCAACAAACAGGAUUCUGGCAAUUUCUCAAGAAGCCAGAAGAAAAAAUCUUAUGAGGCAAUACACUGGGACAGCGACGCAGUGGGCAACAUUGCAAAUUACAGUAGCUGCUUUCACUGUGAUCUUUAUGUUCCACAUGCUCUAUCAACUCUUUGUGAGCAUCGCAGCUGCAUUUCGGACAAUUGUUUACUGGCCAAUAGACUGGAUUCUGGCAGUAAUUCAAGCAGCCAGAAGAAAAAUUCAGAUUGGACAACUAAUUGAGGCAGCUACAACCUGGGCAACAUUGAGAAUUACUGUGGCAGCUUACACUGUGAUCUUUAUGUUCCACAUGUUCUAUCAACUCUUUGAGAAGGUCACAGCUGAAACUUUUUACUGAGCAAUAGACUGAAUUAUGGCAGUUUUUCAAGAAGCCAAAAGAAGAAUUCAGAUUGGAUAACGAAUUUGUGCAGCUAUAACAUCAACAAUACCCAAGAUUUCACUCUACAACUGAUGAUGACUUCUCAGUUUACUGGAGCCA